CAUAUUUUAGAGCCAAAAUCACAACUAAAAAAUAUAAAUUAUUACUUUCAAAUCCACCUUCAAAUAAAAAUUACAUUACAUAAUCCGUUUAAAUAAAUUUAUUGUAACCCAUUAUUUCUUGUUUAUAAACUGCACCUUGAUCUGAUUUUAAUUAAAAUUAUAAACCUUGAACAUUAAAUUCUUAUAAAAUAUUCUACUACGACGAUAUACAAAUUAAUCAAAACAAAUAAAUUUAAUCGUGGGUCAUCAAUUACAAAACAGGUUCCUCUGAAAAGACUAAAAUACCGCCAAAAUUUUUAAUUUUAAAGAUCAUAACUAUUAUUAAUUAGAUUUAAACAUUUACAUUCGA
rnacentral:rRNA from 1 species